GCGCGAAACCUCCGCAAUGCGGGAAACCGCGACGGGGGGACCCCGAGUGCCGUGGCAACGCCACGGCCUUUCCGGAGUGUAAAAAGCUCCGGGAAUAAGGGCUGGGCAAGGCCGGUGGCAGCCGCCGCGGUAAUACCGGCGGCCCGAGUGGUGGCCGCUAUUAUUGGGCCUAAAGCGUCCGUAGCCGGGCCCGUAAGUCCCUGGCGAAAUCCCACGGCUCAACCGUGGGGCUUGCUGGGGAUACUGCGGGUCUUGGGACCGGGAGAGGCGGGGGGUACCCCUGGGGUAGGGGUGAAAUCCUAUAAUCCCAGGGGGACCGCCAGUGGCGAAGGCGCCCCGCUGGAACGGGUCCGACGGCGAGGGACGAAGGCCAGGGGAGCAAACCGGAUUAGAUACCCGGGUAGUCCUGGCUGUAAAGGAUGCGGGCUAGGUGUCGGGUGAGCCUCGAGCUCGCCCGGUGCCGUAGGGAAGCCGUUAAGCCCGCCGCCUGGGGAGUACGGCCGCAAGGCUGAAACU
rnacentral:rRNA from 1 species